GGGACGCAUCAAACACCAGCUCGAGCUGAGCUGCCUUUUUGCUGAGAGGCGACAGAAGCAGACACACCAGUCUGGAAUGUCAAGUGCGGAGAUGAGCGGCCUGGGAAGAGAAGCUUCAGGCCAGUGUCGAGUCCGCCAAAUGGAGUUGCAAACAGCUCCGAGUUCUGCGAGCAGAGGCUAGAGACAUAAAUCAAAGAGCGCUCUCCCAGUGCCGGCAGUGCGGGAACGACUGGCCGCUUGUCACGCUUCAGUGUCUUCAACCACAGCUCCACACGUGGAGAAUAGUUCUAGAAGGAUGGAAAAUGGGGCCGGGAAUACAGUUCAAAGCACUUGCCUUGCAUGCUCGAGGCCCAAGGUUCAAUUUCAAAUUCAAAGAAAGAAAAUGGAAGUUUUCCAUGUGAAGAACUACUCUUAUGAUGGAGAAACAGCUAUUUUUGUUGACCACAUCAACUUUAUAUCGACCCCCAUCUUGAUAAAAGAAGUGGUGAUUCAACAAAACUGAAGUGAAUGAAGCCAUUUCCACAUCACUUGGAGUGAAGAUUUAUUUAAGACCAACUAAACAAGUUACAUGGACCCCACUGCAAUGCCUUCUUUAAUCAAAGCUAUAACUGGACAGACAUCAGACUUUUUAAAAUUUAAAAAUAAUAAAAAAGUAAAAAUAGA